UACAGAGGGGGCUAGCGUUAUUCGGAAUUAUUGGGCGUAAAGGGCGCGUAGGCGGCCACGCGUGUCUUUCGUGAAAUCCCUCGGCUUAACUGAGGACGUGCGGAAGAAACUGCGAGGCUUGAGUCCGGGAGAGGGGGGGGUGGAAUUCCCAGUGUAGCGGUGAAAUGCGUAGAUAUUGGGAGGAACACCGGUGGCGAAGGCGGCCCCCUGGACCGGUACUGACGCUGAGGCGCGAAAGCGUGGGUAGCAAACGGG
rnacentral:rRNA from 1 species